UAGGGAAUCUUCGGCAAUGGACGAAAGUCUGACCGAGCAACGCCGCGUGAGUGAAGAAGGUUUUCGGAUCGUAAAACUCUGUUGGUAGAGAAGAACGUUGGUGAGAGUGGAAAGCUCAUCAAGUGACGGUAACUACCCAGAAAGGGACGGCUAACUACGUGCCAA
rnacentral:rRNA from 1 species